CUGUAUAAUGGAACUGCGCGGAUUCCUGAUCGGAGCUCUUUCACCGGCAGACAUGUCUGGCCGGCGAAGUCAUCUUUACCAGAGGUACCCACUGGUCUUGGAUCGUGGCUGUUCUUUCCGUUGUUGUAUCAUCUCGGACUCCGACGAUUCCAAUCUAAAAUCAGUAAGGAAAUUCCUGUUAUAGAUGUCAUCCUGCAAGUCAGAAUGUGAAUUGGAAAUGAAAACUAGCUCACUUUCUGUAUCAAGAAUUCUACAUCAUGUUCAGAAGAUGAGGUCAUUAUCAAAGUGUGAAUCUUUCAGGUAUGUCUAAAUGUUCUGGAUUUUAUUA